CCUACGGGAGGCUGCAGUGGGGAAUAUUGCACAAUGGGCGCAAGCCUGAUGCAGCCAUGCCGCGUGUGUGAAGAAGGCCUUCGGGUUGUAAAGCACUUUCAGCGGGGAGGAAGGCGGUGAGGUUAAUAACCUCAUCGAUUGACGUUACCCGCAGAAGAAGCACCGGCUAACUCCGUGCCAGCAGCCGCGGUAAUACGGAGGGUGCAAGCGUUAAUCGGAAUUACUGGGCGUAAAGCGCACGCAGGCGGUCUGUCAAGUCGGAUGUGAAAUCCCCGGGCUCAACCUGGGAACUGCAUUCGAAACUGGCAGGCUAGAGUCGUGUAGAGGGGGGUAGAAUUCCAGGUGUAGCGGUGAAAUGCGUAGAGAUCUGGAGGAAUACCGGUGGCGAAGGCGGCCCCCUGGACAAAGACUGACGCUCAGGUGCGAAAGCGUGGGGAGCAAACAGGAUUAAUACCCGGGUAGUC
rnacentral:rRNA from 1 species